rnacentral:rRNA from 1 species
ACGAACGCUGGCGGCACGCUUAACACAUGCAAGUCGAACGAGAGAAGAGAAGCUUGCUUUUCUGAUCUAGUGGCGGACGGGUGAGUAACACGUGAGCAAUCUGCCUUUCAGAGGGGGAUACCGAUUGGAAACGAUCGUUAAUACCGCAUAACAUAAUUGAACCGCAUGAUUUGAUUAUCAAAGAUUUAUCGCUGAAAGAUGAGCUCGCGUCUGAUUAGCUAGUUGGUAAGGUAACGGCUUACCAAGGCGACGAUCAGUAGCCGGACUGAGAGGUUGAUCGGCCACAUUGGGACUGAGACACGGCCCAGACUCCUACGGGAGGCAGCAGUGGGGAAUAUUGCACAAUGGAGGAAACUCUGAUGCAGCGAUGCCGCGUGAGGGAAGAAGGUUUUAGGAUUGUAAACCUCUGUCUUCAGGGACGAAAAAAGACGGUACCUGAGGAGGAAGCUCCGGCUAACUACGUGCCAGCAGCCGCGGUAAUACGUAGGGAGCGAGCGUUGUCCGGAAUUACUGGGUGUAAAGGGAGCGUAGGCGGGAUCGCAAGUCAGAUGUGAAAACUAUGGGCUUAACCCAUAAACUGCAUUUGAAACUGUGGUUCUUGAGUGAAGUAGAGGUAAGCGGAAUUCCUAGUGUAGCGGUGAAAUGCGUAGAUAUUAGGAGGAACACCAGUGGCGAAGGCGGCUUACUGGACGGUAACUGACGUUGAGGCUCGAAAGCGUGGGGAGCAAACAGGAUUAGAUACCCUGGUAGUCCACGCCGUAAACGAUGAUUACUAGGUGUGGGGGGACUGACCCCUUCCGUGCCGCAGAAAACGCAAUAAGUUAUCCACCUGGGGAGUACGACCGCAAGGUUGAAACUCAAAGGAAUUGACGGGGGCCCGCACAAGCAGUGGAGUAUGUGGAUUAAUUCGAAGCAACGCGAAGAACCUUACCAGGUCUUGACAUCGUAUGCAUAGCUCAGAGAUGAGUGAAAUCUCUUCGGAGACAUAUAGACAGGUGGUGCAUGGUUGUCGUCAGCUCGUGUCGUGAGAUGUUGGGUUAAGUCCCGCAACGAGCGCAACCCUUACUGUUAGUUGCUACGCAAGAGCACUCUAGCAGGACUGCCGUUGACAAAACGGAGGAAGGUGGGGAUGACGUCAAAUCAUCAUGCCCCUUAUGACCUGGGCCUCACACGUACUACAAUGGCUGUCAACAGAGGGAAGCAAAGCCGCGAGGUGGAGCAAACCCCUAAAAGCAGUCUUAGUUCGGAUUGUAGGCUGCAACCCGCCUACAUGAAGUCGGAAUUGCUAGUAAUCGCAGAUCAGCAUGCUGCGGUGAAUACGUUCCCGGGCCUUGUACACACCGCCCGUCACGCCAUGGGAGUCGGUAACACCCGAAGCCUGUAGUCUAACCGCAAGGAGGACGCAGUCGAAGGUGGGAUUGAUGACUGGGGUG